CUACGGAGGGUGCAAGCGUUAAUCGGAAUUACUGGGCGUAAGGCGUACGUAGGCGGUUCGUUAAGUUAGAUGUGAAAGCCCCGGGCUUAACCUGGGAACUGCAUUUAAAACUGGCGGACUAGAGUUGAGUAGAGGGGAGUGGAAUUUCAGGUGUAGCGGUGAAAUGCGUAGAGAUCUGAAGGAACACCAGUGGCGAAGGCGACUCCCUGGACUCGAACUGACGCUGAGGUACGAAAGCGUGGGUAGCAAACGGGAUUAGAUACCCCAGUAGUCC
rnacentral:rRNA from 1 species